GGAAAAGGGUGGCUGGCCAUGUGCUAUUUUAGAGUGGUGUGAACCCAAUUUUAUAAAAUUCAAAUCCCAUUUAAUUAAGAAGUCAAGUGGGCAAGUGGGUAGAAAAUCACUCAAGUGUUUUGUGAUAUUUUGAAGAGUUGUGUGAGCCAUUCUAACCCCCAAAUCCGACCACUCUCCCUCCCUCAUUCACUCUCAUCUGAUUUUUGAAGACUCUCUCAAGUGUUCUCUCCAUUUUGAACCCCAAGAACACCAAAGAAACUUGGAAGCUAAGUCUUGGUCUAGGAAGGGUUUUCCCUAAGUUGGUUAGGGUUUUUGAAAGGUUUUGAAGGAGUCAAAGCUUAUAGGAAGGUCCAAACCUUAAGCAAGAACACCAAAGAGGUAAGAGCAAGGGCAAGGCAGAGCAGUGAGCGCUGGAGUCUUCCUUGCAAAUGUACAUGUGGACCGACCUUUUGGGAAGCCUUUUUAUUUUUGGAAAUGUUGUGUAAUUUUCCUAAACUAGGCUCACUCUAAUCUUUGUAAAACAUGUUUGUAACUAAAUGUUAAGUAUGGCCAUACGACUUUUUAAAAAGUUUUUUUUCUAUGGGCUUUUGAGACAUUUUGUUAAAUGAAAACAUUUAUA